rnacentral:piRNA from 1 species
UCAUUCAUUGAUUCGUUGGCG